rnacentral:sRNA from 1 species
UUAACAACUCUGGAGGCUGGAUUCCUCUGUUUAUCUAUAGAACAGGUACAGCACAGGAAGCAGUAGUUUUAAAUGUCUACAAACUUGCCAACUAUUGUGUCUCAACCAUCUGUGGAGAUAUGUAAUACAUUUUUAAUAUCCAUGUAAUCCUUCAUGUGCUGUU